rnacentral:lncRNA from 1 species
GGUUUAUAAAACCAAUGUCGAGUUAUUCAGUUCAAACUACACAAGGCAGCACAGCGUAAUCAGAAAAAUAUGCGACUGUUCUUGCUUCUGGCAACUCUUUCUUUGAGCGUCGUUGAACUGUCUGCAGCAAGAACAGGGUCAGCACAACGCAGAUGC